CACCUGAAUAUAAUGCCUUUACUGCAUUAAAAACACAGCAAGACUAGCUCUAAGAGUGUGUAUUUGGGAGAAAGGGAAAUAUAUGAGUUAUAUUAAAGGUGACUGUUCAAAAAAAGUUUACAAGUUUCUUGCUUCUAGCAUUGCCUUUAGCAACCCACAAGAAUCAGUAAAAUCAUGGCAAAAGUUCCCAGAUACAGCAUUCAUUUUCAUGGAAUUAAUAAUUUGUAUUCUUUCUGCAUUGCUGUUGUAUGCUGCUUGUUUGAUAUACAGAAUAAAUCUUCCACGCUCUGCAUAGACAUCAAAGAGAAGACGCUACAUGUGUCACUGGAAGGAGUCUCUCUGUCACAAUCAAAGCAGAAGCAGCUUCCCUUUACUCAAUGGAUUUGAAAGAUCUGGAAAAAUGAAAAAUUCCAAGAAAUCCUGAUACAAUCAAGGGUAUGAACAAAACUGCAAACCAAAACCUUGUGAUAAUUUAAUGUGCAUUCAUGUAGGUGCCUCUUAUUCCUCUCACAAGGAACAAAAGAAUUAGAAAGGUACAGCAAGAACAAAUGGCACGUGCACAGUAAUUGUUGCCAGUGCUGGAAACCCAAGCCAGAAGAAUGGUGGAAAGUAAACUAUUGGUGCUUCUCUGCAACUAGAACAAGGUAAACUGGAACUACUAUAGCCAAGGAAAAAACCUGGAGGGCAAGAAUUUUGGAUGCUUCCCUAAUCCUGCUCCAGUGAACUUAAAGUUUGCUACGCUCCAGCUACAUACUAGAGUGAGCUCAGAAAGCUUAAGAUCAAAUUUAAUAAAAAAUGGAGUCAGAAUAGGUUUGUCCAUCUCUGAAAAGUGAAGACAUGUGAUGUACCUCACAUUUGUUGUUGUUUUAAAAGAGGGGGGAUCCCUGGGAACAUCAAAACAUGUAUUUUAUUUUGCUUCAGUGCCCCUGGGAAGGGCCUCCAAUAUAGCCACACUGCUUUGAAGGGCCCCAAUGCAAAGGCAUUGCUUUUACAACUGCAUCCCUUCUCUCUCUCUCUCUUUCUCUCUUUUAAAGGAAAUCCAAAUUCCUCAUUUGUUUAGCUUGAAAUCCGGUACACAUUCCCACAAACUACUUCCUUUUCUCUCUCCUCCUUUCCCCCCCCCCAUAAUCAAACUCCCUCCUUGCCCCCUCCCUCCCUUUCUCUUCUUUUAAUGAAGAGAAGUUCAGAGAGUUCCCCCCCCCCGCCGCAUGAAUAGAUGGCAGGCACCUGGGAGUUAUGAAUUUUAAAGUGAUCAUUUUCUUUGAGCCACUCGGGACAAUGGGGAUCUCCUUUUGACUCAGUUUCACAGCUUUGAGAGGCUCUCAGAUCAGCCACAUUCCAAUCAGAUUGGAGUCAGAUCAGAGCUGUGCUGGACUGCAUCAAGGUCUCUCACAGAAAGACAAGGAGCAGAUGGCCAACACUGAGCUCUCCUCCCCUUUUCAGACCGCAAUGGAAGGCAAUGUGGGAACCCAUUCCCCCAGCAUUGCCUAUUGAGUGCUGAAUAGGACCACCACAUGCCACCAGCCUGUAGGUAUGAACCUCUGUUAACAGAUGGUGAGAUCAUUAUGAGCAAUUAAUUCCUUUAAUGUAUCAGUGGGAACAUGCUGGAAAGGAUGAGGCAAGCACGGAGUGAAUAGUGAGCGUCUCGCUCCUAGGGGAGAGCAGCAGCCACAUCACUGAAGGGAUGGGAAUUUUCUUUCAAGGGCUCCUGUGUGCACCACUGAGUACUGCUGUUAGCUCUUUGGACCACAGUACUGAGGCAUGGUUUUUAUUAUCCAAAUAGGCCUUCCCUUGUUGAUCUGCAUAAUUAAUAACAGAUUUUUCUCCCCAGAGAUCAUUUUUAGAUACAUGCAAAAAUUCAAAAGCAAUGGGGGCAGGGAUCUAAAGUUAUCAACAUGUAAUCGACUUGAAGGCAUCUAACAACAACAAAGCGCAAACAUAAAAAAAUGCAGAUUCAAACAUAGUAAAACAGUGUUGUAUUUCUAUUUAUGAGGGUUGUAUAUCUUUUUAAAAAUAACUCUUUUGAACGGAAAAAU